rnacentral:rRNA from 1 species
AGCAGCCGCGGUAAUUCCAGCUCCAAUAGCGUAUAUUAAAGUUGUUGCAGUUAAAAAGCUCGUAGUUGAAUUUCGGGGUUAGUAGGUUGGUCAUGCCUCUGGUAUGUACUGGUCUCACUGAUCCCUCCUUCCUGAUGAGCCGUAAUGCCAUUAAUUUGGUGUUGCGGGGAAUUUGGACUGUUACUUUGAAAAAAUUAGAGUGUUUAAAGCAGGCUCACGCUUGAAUACAUUAGCAUGGAAUAAUGAAAUAGGACGUUUGAUUCUAUUUUGUUGGUUUCUAGGAUCGACGUAAUGAUUAAUAGGGAUAGUUGGGGGCAUUAGUAUUCAAUUGUCAGAGGUGAAAUUCUUGGAUUUAUUGAAGACUAACUACUGCGAAAGCAUUUGCCAAGGAUGUUUUCAUUAAUCAAGAACGAAAGUUAGGGGAUCGAAGACGAUCAGAUACCGUCGUAGUCUUAACCAUAAACUAUGCCGACUAGGGAUCGGAUGAUGUUAAUUUUUUAAUGACCCAUUCGGCGCCUUA